AUGCUUCUGGUGCUCAUCACAGUGUUGGGGAUUCAUUUUGCCCUGAGAGAUGCCAGAGCUCAGACUGUGACUCAGACUGAUGCUACCAUCACUGUCUCUGAAGGACACUCGCUGGAGUUGGGAUGCAAGUAUUCCUAUAGUACAACACCUACUCUCUUCUGGUAUGUCCAGUACCCUGGACAAGGCCUCCAGUUUCUCCUCCGGUACUAUUCUGGGAACACCCGAGUUCAAGGCAUUAAAGGCUUUGAGGCUGAAUUCAGGAAGAGUGAAUCUUCCUUCAACCUGAGCAAACACUCUGUGCACUGGAGUGACACAGCUAUGUACUUCUGUGCUACUAGUACCACAGUGUGUGGGACUGCAGGGGGAGCUGAACACAAAUCACUAGGUGGGUGCAGUUUUCAGAGAGUCAAGAUGUGA